UACGGGGGGAGCAAGCGUUGUUCGGAUUUACUGGGCGUAAAGGGCGCGUAGGCGGCGUGACAAGUCACUUGUGAAAUCUCCGGGCUUAACUCGGAACGGUCAAGUGAUACUGUCGUGCUAGAGUACAGAAGGGGCAACUGGAAUUCUCGGUGUAGCGGUGAAAUGCGUAGAUAUCGAGAGGAACACCUGCGGCGAAGGCAGCUCGCUGGGACGGUACUGACGCUGAGACGCGAAAGCGUGGGGAGCAAACAGG
rnacentral:rRNA from 1 species